UACGUAGGGUGCGAGCGUUAAUCGGAAUUACUGGGCGUAAAGCGUGCGCAGGCGGUUCGUUAUGUCCGAUGUGAAAGCCCCGAGCUUAACUUGGGAAUGGCAUUGGAAACUGGCGGGCUGGAGUGCGGCAGAGGGGGGUGGAAUUCCACGUGUAGCAGUGAAAUGCGUAGAGAUGUGGAGGAACACCGACGGCGAAGGCAGCCCCCUGGGCCGACACUGACGCUCAGGCACGAAAGCGUGGGGAGCAAACAGG
rnacentral:rRNA from 1 species